rnacentral:rRNA from 1 species
GNNNGCNCUAACACAUGCAAGUCGAGCGGUAGAGAGCAAGCUUGCUUCUCUUGAGAGCGGCGGACGGGUGAGUAAUGCCUAGGAAUCUGCCUGGUAGUGGGGGAUAACGUUCGGAAACGGACGCUAAUACCGCAUACGUCCUACGGGGGAAAGCAGGGGACCUUCGGGCCUUGCGCUAUCAGAUGAGCCUAGGUCGGAUUAGCUAGUUGGUGAGGUAAUGGCUCACCAAGGCGACGAUCCGUAACUGGUCUGAGAGGAUGAUCAGUCACACUGGAACUGAGACACGGUCCAGACUCCUACGGGAGGCAGCAGUGGGGAAUAUUGGACAAUGGGCGAAAGCCUGAUCCAGCCAUGCCGCGUGUGUGAAGAAGGUCUUCGGAUUGUAAAGCACUUUAAGUUGGGAGGAAGGGUUGUAGAUUAAUACUCUGCAAUUUUGACGUUACCGACAGAAUAAGCACCGGCUAACUCUGUGCCAGCAGCCGCGGUAAUACAGAGGGUGCAAGCGUUAAUCGGAAUUACUGGGCGUAAAGCGCGCGUAGGUGGUUUGUUAAGUUGGAUGUGAAAUCCCCGGGCUCAACCUGGGAACUGCAUUCAAAACUGACUGACUAGAGUAUGGUAGAGGGUGGUGGAAUUUCCUGUGUAGCGGUGAAAUGCGUAGAUAUAGGAAGGAACACCAGUGGCGAAGG